UAUAGGUCCAACCGGUUCCUCGCCCUGGAGCAAGCCCAAUCACGCAUUCCCUCUCUCCCUCGGUCCCUCCAUCCUCCAGGCCUCCGCCGCCGCCGGCCGCCAAGGCACUAACCACCUCCUUGGAGGCAGAGCCUCGGAGCCAGCGCCGCCUUGCCGACGCAAGCGGCCCGUCACCACGCACGGGGCGCUCUUCCUCGCGCUCUCCCUUGCGGGCCUGGCCGGUUCCCUCGACUGCACAUCCUGUCUCCUCACCAACCACGAUGCCGGCCACCUGCUCCGUCGUCUCCGGCAGAGGUUACUCCACCUAGCUGCAGCACUCGUGCGCUUGGCGGCUAGGGUUCGUCUCCAGCCCCUCCCUCCCCCAUCAACGAGAGGAGCAUCCGGUGCCUCCGCCCUCGAGUUCGUCGACGGCGCCGUCCUCCAGCAGCAGCCGCCGCAGAUCAAGGUACAGACUACUACCGCCAUGAGAACUCGGUGACAUCCAUCAUCGGUAGAUGGCGUAACACAAUCCCGGCUUGGAAUCAAUUAUCACCCUUAAUUCAGCUCCGUUUGUUAUUACCUCUGGACUUCAAGUGUUGCUUGUGCAGAAUAUGUAAGCUGUCAAGUGUAAUAUUUGUGCUUCAGAAUCUGUGUUUUGUACUAGUACAUGUUAUGAAGCUGUGAAGUGUUCAUCAAUUUAAGUAUUGGUAGU
rnacentral:rRNA from 1 species